rnacentral:rRNA from 1 species
GGGAUUGCCUCAGUAACGGCGAGUGAAGCGGCAACAGCUCAAAUUUGAAACCUGCCAACAGGCCGGAUUGUAAUUUGUAGAGGAUGCUUUGGGGUUGGCUCUGAUCUAAGUUUCUUGGAACAGAACGUCACAGAGGGUGAGAAUCCCGUACGUGGUCGGCAGCCUUCUCCGUGUAAAGCUCCUUCGACGAGUCGAGUUGUUUGGGAAUGCAGCUCAAAAUGGGUGGUAAAUUUCAUCUAAAGCUAAAUAUUGGCCAGAGACCGAUAGCGCACAAGUAGAGUGAUCGAAAGAUGAAAAGCACUUUGGAAAGAGAGUUAAACAGCACGUGAAAUUGUUGAAAGGGAAGCGCUUGCAACCAGACUUGCGCGUAGGUAAUCACGAGUGGUUCGCUGCUCUGCACUUGCCUACGCUCAGGCCAGCAUCAGUUCUAGGGGUGGGAUAAAGGCCGUUGGAAUGUGGCUCUUCGGAGUGUUAUAGCCUUCGGUGCCAUGCCGCCUCCCGGGACUGAGGACCGCGCUUCGGCUAGGAUGCUGGCGUAAUGGUUGUAAGCGA